rnacentral:rRNA from 1 species
UGGGGAAUAUUGCACAAUGGGCGCAAGCCUGAUGCAGCCAUGCCGCGUGUGUGAAGAAGGCCUCGGGUUGUAAAGCACUUUCAGCGAGGAGGAAGGUGGUGAGCUUAAUACGCUCAUCAAUUGACGUUACUCGCAGAAGAAGCACCGGCUAACUCCGUGCCAGCAGCCGCGGUAAUACGGAGGGUGCAAGCGUUAAUCGGAAUUACUGGGCGUAAAGCGCACGCAGGCGGUUCGUUAAGUCAGAUGUGAAAUCCCCGGGCUCAACCUGGGAACUGCAUUUGAAAACUGGCAAGCUAGAGUCUCGUAGAGGGGGGUAGAAUUCCAGGUGUAGCGGUGAAAUGCGUAGAGAUCUGGAGGAAUACCGGUGGCGAAGGCGGCCCCCUGGACGAAGACUGACGCUCAGGUGCGAAAGCGUGGGGCAGCAAACAGGAUUAGAUACCCUGGUAGUCCACGCUGUAAAACGAUGUCGAUUUUGGAGGUUGUGCCCUUGAGGCGUGGCUUCCGGAGCUAACGCGUUAAAUCGACCGCCU